CUUUAAGAAACUUUCAUUUAAUGGGAACUCAAGAAGUGUACAUAUAAGGAGGGAAGUAGCAGUAUGGUACAAGAUAAUACAUACAUAUCAGUGAAUGAUAUUGCCAAAAAGUGCUAUUGAUAGAGCAAUAAUUCAUUUCUGCAAACAGCUGCUGAUCUCCUACUGAAAACAGAGGAGGGAGAACAGGACGCCUCGUGGUCAGGAUAGAAGAGAAAGACCUUGAGUUGAGCCUUGAACAGUAUUUAAUAUUCAAAAGGUUAAGAGAGGAGAGCAAUUGAGGAGGGGAGAAUAGUUCCAGCACAAAUGAUGGUGUACAAGAUGAACACAGUCAGUAAAGAGCAGACUGGUCUGGAUGGAGAGGAGGAUUUGCAUCAUUUGGGAUUACGUCAUUUAGACCCUUGAAAGCCAGGAUUGAGUAAAGCCACAGUGAAGCGACUGGCUCGUAUGGAAGCUUUAUUUUAAGAAGAUUAAUCUGGUAGUGACAUGUGCCAAAAACUGAAUAGGUAGAAAUGAGAUGCAGAGAGCCCAGUUAGAACUAAGUCUGGUGCAGUAAUGCAGGAUUGAGGCAAUAAACACCAAACUACAGUAUCACCAGAUAAUGGAUGUUUGAACGGACGGUUUAAAGGAAAAUUGAUGGUAUUUGGUAAUUUAUUAGAUAAUCCAGGGCCAUGGAAUGAGAGGGGAAAAUGACUAACCAUAGUCAUCAAAUGGUUUUUCUUAAUGAAUCUGAAUUUUGGUGUAAGAGCAACAUUUUCUUAGGCCUUGCCUAGUUGGUACAGCUGACUAUGAUAAUGACUGCUACCAUGCUUGUUCCUCUUUUAGCAGCUGUGAGUCCCCCACCAGCCAAACAAUGAGCCUCUUGAAAAGGACGAUGCCUUUUCACUUCUCUCCAAGUGCUUGGCAAAUAGGAGGCCUUUUGAAGUUACUUUAUAGUUAGGGGUUCCCAGUGAGUAUUUGAAAUAUUAAGUCAUGCCCGUGGUUGACAGCAUGGCCCUACUGCUCAUCAUCAGCUAUUAACCUUAGGCAAGUUAAUGAACUUUUCUAAGCCCCAGUCUACUCAUUUAUAAAGUGGGAUUAUUAAUAAUGUCUACUUCAUAAAAUUAUGAAGCCUGAGUUAGGUCAUUCAGAUAGUGUUUAGUCUGAUUCUUCGAACCUAGUAAACAGUCAGUAAACAGAAGCAAAUGCCACAUGCCUGAUUUAUAUCCAAGGGGAGAAAGGUAAAAGUGAAAUUUUCAUGAUUUAUGGAUUCAAAUUAUACAUUUCAAAGAUGCUUUAUAAGCUAUUGUUUUGGUAAGAAGAAUUGAGCUGAAACAGAAUUUUCUGACAGCAGUGAUUAUUAAAUGGUGAAAUAGGCUAUUGAUGUCUUUAGAGGAUAUAGAUGUUCACCUUUUGCAUAUAAGUGCACAAAAAUUCACUAAGUAGAUAUGUCUGUCUACACAGAGAGAGAGAGCGUGAGAGCAUUAAAGUUAGUAAACAUCCCCCUCGCUUUUUUUUUUUUGAGACAGGGUCUUACUCUGUUGCCUAGGCUGGAGUGCAGUGGUGCAAUCGUGGCUCACUGCAGUCUCAACAUCCUGGGCUCAAGCGAUCCUCUCGCUCAGCCUCCUGAGUAGCUGAGGUGUGCACCACCACACCCGGCUAAUUUUUAAAUUUUUUUAUUGUAAAGGUGAGGUUUCACCAUGUUGCCCAGGUCUCAAACUCCUGAGCUCAAGCAAUCUGCUCACUUCAGCCUCCAAAAAUGCUGGGAUUACAGGCGUGAGCCACCACGCCUGGCCAGUAAACCCCAUUCAUUUACAUCAUCUUACUUGUCCCUCCAAAAUCCUGCAAAGUAGGUAGGUUCUGUCUUUAUUUGUUAUUUAGGUGAAGAACUUGAAGUGGUGUUGAGGAAUAGGUGUUUUGCCAAGAGUCACGCAGCUGGAGUGGCAGAGCUGUAUACUCUUCUGAUUCCACCAACGCUGUUUACAUCACAUCUGGAGAAAAGUGCUCUGAGGCACAGAUGUUUAGUGGGAGGGAUGAGACACAGGCUGCAAUGCCUAAAGAUAAUCGGGAA
rnacentral:lncRNA from 1 species